GUGCUAAACUACCCUCUGGGGAGCCUAGACGUGCUAAACUGCCCUCUUAGGGGCCACGCGUGUGGUAAACUGCCUUCAAGUGCCAUCUUGAGAGCCAAAAUGUGUGCUAAACUGCCCUUAAGUGCCCUCUUGGGAGCCAAAACACUUUCUAAAGUGCCCUCCUGGAAAUAAAAACGUGUCUAAAGUGCCAUCUACAGUGGUGAGGAUGCGCUGUAUGUGACCUUUUUUUCUUUCCGCCUCUACCCUUCAAAAAGUUUGCGCACG